rnacentral:lncRNA from 1 species
GUCAACAAUGCCACUAUGAACAGCGGUAUACAAACACCACUUGAGUCCUUGCUUUAAAUUCUUUUGAGCAUGUAUCUAAUAGUGGAAUCACUGAAUCAUGUGGUAUUUCUACAUUUAACUUUUUGAAGAAAUGGAGAUUGUUUGAGUGACAUCAUCAAUCAGGAAUGAUAAGUGUUGGCAAUUUUGGAGUCCAUGCAGGUCUACUAUUAUUGUAAAAAUAUGUCAACAGAAUCUGGAUUCUCCUUCAAGACUUAGGAUGACUGGAAGCACAAGCUACAGUGACAGAUCUGUAAACAAGGAAAAAAACAGACUCUAGAAGUGCACAGUCUGAAGCAUCUAGGGAGUGGGGGUAUUGUACCAAUGGAAAAACAAUUUGCCAAUGAGAUCAGAAAAUCCUACUGGGUUACAUAAGAGACUUGGUAUUCA